rnacentral:lncRNA from 1 species
AUGCACGGGAAGAAACUAAAGGUCAAUCACACCAGUGGAAGUUCUAAAGAACUCUUUUCAUUGGCCUGGGGUCUUGGAAAAGGUGAGGGUUCCUCCCAGGUUAGAAUUCCCCUUCUUCCACACCCCUUCAGAUUCCAUGUUUGGGUCCCCUUCCACAAACACUCCCCUUGUGGAAACUGUCAUUCUCUCCCUUGGAUUUCCCUCCGGAGUCCCCUUCCAAGCUCUCUCGUGGAAGCCUGUCUUCCCCUCCUAAACUCCAUCUCUCUCUCUCUCUCUCUCUCUCUCUCUCUCUCUCUCUCUCUCUCUCUCUCUAUUCCCUUCCACUCUGUGGAAGCUGCUUUCCUCUCCUGGAUUCCAUCUG